rnacentral:lncRNA from 1 species
UUACGGGCAAUCUAUCGAAGAUUUCUGGUGAAGUAGAAAGCACGUGAAUCUUACUGAUCAAUCACCGCUCUCCAUAUGCACCAUCAACUCCUCGGGUACCACAUAUAACUUUGUCAAAGAUCUCUGACAAAGUUUAGGCACGAGAAUUUCGAAGUGCCAGCUACCCUACUAUUACCCAUAAGGGUAAAGGAACAGCACCACUGCUUGACAACUGGAAAGUCCCUAUGUGUGUCGACCUCCGUGUUUUGUGGCAAGACAGGUUGGCAAGAACGACCAACCUUUACUCACAUUCGAGAAAAGACUCCCAAC